GCAGUGGGGCGAUCUGUCGCGCCCUCUCUCCUAGAGGGUGAGGAACGUCCGGGCAACAAAGAGCACCAUACUUCCUAACGGGAAGUCAUCCGUGAGGGUGAAGUAGCGUAACAGAGAAUGACCGCCCUACGUCGUGUGGGGUAAGGGUGAAAAGGUGGGGUAAGAGCCCACCGAGCCUGCAGUGAUGUAGACUGCCGUACGCCUUAUGGGUUGCAAGAUCAUGUAAACCGACGCUAUGAGGGUUGCUCGCCCCAGUCGGAGGGUAGAUCGCACCGAGGUAGGUGGUGACACCUAUCCCAGAUAAAUGACAGAUACUCCACGAGGUCUCUCGAGGAGGACAGAACCCGGCUUAUAGCCUCACUGCCCUU
rfam:Porphyromonas catoniae ATCC 51270 ctg7180000005743, whole genome shotgun sequence.